rnacentral:lncRNA from 1 species
GAAAGCCACCAUUGCAAGGACAAGUUCCUCAGAGUGUGGUGCCCACCUGGUUGAGACUACAAGCAGCAAUGGCUGCAACAAAAUAAUAACGGAGUAAAGCAUUAGAGUGGAAGAAUGGUGAGAAAAUGACGUGCAGAGCAGCCCUCACAGUUGUAGAGGUUGAUAUGGAUUAUGAUACUCGGGCAAAGAGAGGUCAAAUGACACGGUCAGUCUCUCUUUCUCCCCUGAUGACACAAAGAGAAUGGCUGGGUACCGAGAGGCAUAGAAAACAUGAAUUGAACAGUCCUACUUUCAUCUCGUUUCUACCACUGGAGGUUGUGACUAGGAAAAACAAUAUGUAUUCAUACAGCACAUCACCCAGCAGCUCACCACGUGGGAUCUACCACGUUGUACUGAAGAAAAAGCUUGAGAAUAUUUCAGGAAGUGAAGGGGAAGGAAAUGCAGAAUGCAGAUUUCUCAUCUCUGAAAUAAAGGAACAAAAGGUGUGUAAAAAUGAAGGUGGAAAGAAAAACGUGGAGCAGUGUCAGUUCCUGGGCCGUGUGCUGUAUGCUCUGGCAUCAGAAAAGAUAGCGCGUGUUUUACGCACGUGUAGAUGCAAAUACGGCAAGACAAAGAAGAAAAGGCAAAGCAUUACAGUGCUUACAGUAAGAAGACAAGGAGAAAAUCAUCAUAUAACAGCUAUUAGGAAACAGCAGAGAAAAAUGUGUUACUUUCUGAGGACUCAUGCCAAGGAAGCUGGAGUACGAGUGAAAGCUCAGCAUCUGCAGGAAAACAUCCAAUCAACCGGAGAUCCCGAACCAGAAAUGUGCCAGUUAUGUAAAGCAUAG